rnacentral:misc_RNA from 1 species
UAAAGUGCGAUAACUAGUGUGAAUUGCAUUACUUUGUGAACCAUCGAGUCUUUGAACGCAGCAUGCGCCCUCUGUGCGGGAGGGCAUGCCUGGCUGAGCGUCGCGUUUUCUGGGAAACCGAGGAGGGCCGCAAGCACGCUUCGGCCUGUGGGGAUGCGGCGGCGCGCGCAGCUGUGUUGCAGGCGGAAGCACGGCGCAGCGAGGCGGGCCGGCGAACACGCAGCGGCCUCAGCUCAGGCAGGACGACCCGCUGAACUUAA